AUGCAUUCAACCAAUAUUAAGAACCCGUCUUUUUACGUUGUAGCCUUAUGUUACAAUUGUUUAAAAUAUUGUUUUCACAUCCGUCUACACUCAGCAUCCCAUAAUGAAAAAUCAAACACCAGAUUUUUGAAAGCUUGGAAAAACAUUUUUAAAAAGAAAAAAAAAAAACUGAAAUAUCACAUUGACAUAAGUAUUAAGACCCAGUACUAUGACCCUUAAAAUUUAGCUCAGAUGCAUCCCAUUUCUCUGGACCAUCUUUGGUUCUACACUUUGUUUGGAAUCUGCCUGUGGCAAAUUCACUUGGUUAGACAUGAUUUGGAAAGGCACACUACUGUCUGUACAUGGUCUCGCAGCUUUAAAGGCGUAAAACCCAAGUCAUGAAGUCAGAGCUGCAGAGACCGGAAUGUUUUCAGACACAAUUUGGAGACAGCUAAAAAUAAAUAUUAUGACUGCAUUGAAGGUUCUUUAAGUGGAUGGCCUCCAUAAUUGUUAGAAGUUUGGAACAACUAGGAUUCUUCCUAGACCUGGUGCCCAGCCAAAUAUAGGUAAUUGGGGAGAAGGGCCUUGAUAAGAGAGGUGAGCAAGAAUCAAAUAGUCACUCUGACUGAGCUUCAAAGAUGAUGUAUGGAGAUGGGAGAAACUUGCAGAAGGACAACCAUCAUUGCAACAGUACUGAUCUGGACAGUUUUAAGCUUCUCCGUGAAAGCCUGCUUGGAAUUUGCACACAAAAAAACAACCCUAAAGGGCUCUGACUGUGAGAAACAAGACUUUCUGGUCUGAUGAAAAGAAGAUUGAACUGUUUGGGCAACCAGGCCCCACUCAUGGUAUGGUGGUAGCAUCUGGUUUUUUAAGUCUUUUUCAAAAGCAGGUCAAAGACUGGCCAUGAGAAAUGAUCAGGGUUGAGGGAAAGCUGAAUGCAGCAAAAUACAGAGCAAAUCCAGACGCUUGCUUAAAGGGACACUAAAGGUAUCAAAACAACUUUAGCUUAAUGAAGCAGUUUGGGUGUAUAGAUCAUGCCCUUGAAGUUUCACUGAUCAUUUAUCUGCCAUUUGGGAGUUGACUCACAAAGCCUGCACAAUAAUAAAAAAAAAAUGGCUUCAUUUUUAAUCAAAUGUUCACCUUCUUCGAGAAGUUUGUAUUUCUUGCUCUGUAAUCACAAGCAAGAGGCUUCUGCAGGGUCCAGAUGGCUAUUAACAGAGUAGUAGAUACAUUAUAAAUUAAACAGAAUGUGCAAUAAAAGAAGUUUAAACUUUAGAUCUCUCUUUACAGGAAGUGUUUAUGAAAGUUGUGCAAGUCACAUAAAAGAAGGUGUGACUUGGGCUGUAAGAACAAAGUGAUUCAACUCUUGAGUGGCUGCAGGUUCAUGACCUAUACUCCAGAACUGCUUCAUAUAGCUAAUGUUUUGGUGCCCAUAGUUUACCUUUAAGUGCUUUAUGAGUGGAGUGUGACCUCAUUUCAUUUUAUAAAAAGUGCAGAUUUCAAAAUUAACUACGUUACACCCUCCUGGUGAUCAAUCAGUCAGCUUGUAAGACUAGUGGAACUAAACUCAAGGCAGGCAAUUGCUCAGACACCUUGAAAAGACUGAGCUUUGGGAAGUCUGCAAUUGGACAGCCUCAGAAAGGCUAGGUUAGAAGAGGAGGACUUGCAAAAGCUUUAGAUACAAGAUCUGCAGGUUUUGCAUGAUGUUUUUAGAUAUAGCCUCAUUGAAAAAAAACAAAUAUGCAGUUGAAUGCAAGCAUGUUUUCAUUAAGGGUAUACAAAACUGUUAGUUUUUUUUAUAUUUAGCCAAUGAAUUGUCCUUUUUCAUGAAAACUUAGUCCAAAAUGUUCAGGAUCUUAGACUGGGUUGAAGGUUCAUCUUCCAACAGGACACUGAUCCAAAGCAGACAGUCAAAACAAUACAAGACUGGCUUAGGUAUAACUUUGUGAAUGUCAUGGAGUGUCCCUGUCAGAGCCUACACUUGAACCUAAUAAAACAUCUCUGGAAAAACCUGAAAAUGUAUGUCCAUUGAUUGGCCCCAUCCUAUCUGACCAAGAUAAGAGAAUCGGCAGAGAUGAAUGGCAGAAACUACCAAAUUCAAGUGUGCAAAGCUUUUCACUUCAUACACAAAAAGACUGACUAUAAUCGCUGACAAAGGUGCUUCAUUUAAGUGAUACUUUUAUUCUGUUUAAUAUAUUUGUAACGGUGUCCCAAAUCUAUUUUGUUUCAUCAUUAUUAGGUAUUAAGUGCAGAUUUCUGCACAGAACUAGAGAGUAUUAAUGAUACCGGUUUACAGAAAGCUAUUGCCAAGGGUUCAAUUAGGACGUCUUUAACUGGGCACCAGUUUUAGGCUGUAUCAACUUAACCUUAAUUAUCAUUGGAGCGCAGUCCACAGCUUCCUCCUUUCUCCCUAAAACCAGUCCGGGGCUUCCUCCUUUCUCACAUAAUUUUCUGAAUGGGAAGCUAGCAAUAGGCUAUAACUAUUCCAAAUCUAUAAUGGGAAGCUAGCUAUAGGCUAUAACUCUGCCGGAAACGAGGAGCAAUGUGAAAGGUGCAGUCUUCACAACUUCCUGGGUAAACCAUUUGUAAACUGCUUAACCACUUUAGAUAAUAGGGCAGCCAGACACCAUAACUUUAAUACAUAAUCCCCUCUGAAUUUCCCAUGUUUUCUGAAAAUUGCAGGUGUACAAUUUAAGUUAGAUAGCACCAUUUACACUGCAGCAAUAUAUGGAAUUACAUGUUUCAUUAUUCACUUAAUUUUAAAUGUAGGAAAAUAAACAGUUCAUUUAACAAUGCAGGAAUUGUGCAGAAAAGACAAGAGAAUAGCAUUUGUCUUAUAUAAUUGCUGGCUGAGGGACAGAAAUGUCUUUAAAUGGUCACUCCCAGUAUUAUAAGCAUUUUAUAACAGUUUGACUUGUUACUCUGUAUCUUCUCCACACCUCUUCUACUUCUGAUAGAAAAUCAGAACCCUGCUGAGGAGUUUUUGUUAAGUUCCCCUGAGCUAACCCCUGCUGGGUAGGAGUAAAUAUUUGGAGAAUCUCCUGGACCCCCAUAAAAAGCUGUAUAAUAAAUAGUUAACUUCACAACAUAUAGAAAAUGCAUAUAAUAGCUUUUUUUUGGACAAAGUUAAAACUUAUCCUUUACUUUAUUAUUUAAAGGACCACUCUAGGCACCCAGACUACUUCAGCUUAAUGAAGUCCACAGAGAAACUGCUAUGUUUAUAAAUAGAUUAAUCCAGCCUCUAGUGGCUGUCACAUUGACAGCCGCUAGAGGCGUUUGCGUGCUUCUCACUGUGAAAAUCACAGUGAGAAGAUGCCAGCGUCCAUAGGAAAGCAUUAUGAAUGCUUUCCUAUGAGACUGGCUGAAUGCGCGUGCAGCUCCUGUCGCGCAUGCGCAUUCAGCCGUAGAGGAGGAUCGGAGACGGAGAGGAGAGAUCCCCGCCCGGCGCUGGAAAAAAGGAAAGUUUAACCCCUUUCCUUGCCAUCCAGCCCGGCGGGCACUAUAGUGGUCUUUUAAUUAACACAUUGGAAAUAAAGGCUGGACUAAAGUGCAAGUGAAUGUAAACUUAUAAUGUGCGAAAUCCCCUAAUGAAACACUAUUGGUUUGCAGAGAAUGCACAUUUAUAUAUAUAUUAGGGAACUAGAUAUAAUGGGACUGCUUAAUAUUUUAGCCUGAAGUUAACAUUCUAGUGAGCCGAUAUCAAAUAUAUCUAUGCAAAGGACCAAUAAAUAUAAAACCAUAAUAUAAAAGUAACCCUUCGCUAAUCACAUGAUCAGUCACUGAAGAAACAGUUUGUUGUACUGAUGAGGCACCAAGCCUAUCACCCCCCACCCCCCAUCCCCUCCUGAGCAAAAGUUUCCUCUUUUUCUGGAUAUAGGAUAUGAAACCAACAGGCCUGUUUUUGCGAUGUUGUACGUUAAGGACCAGAGCAGUUUUGAAACUUUUGUGGUGUUUGUGUUUAGCUGUAAUUUUCCUCUCUCUAUUUACGGUUCCCAUACAAGUUAUAUAUUGUUUUUUUUCAGGACAGGAAGGGCGUUCUUUACAUAUCAUUAUUUGUAUCAUGUCAUAUAUUUUAUUUUAAAAAAAAUAAUAAAAUAUGGUGAAAAAUUGAAAAAAAAACAAACACACACGUUUUUGGACUUUUACUUAUCUACAAAAGCUAAUGAAAAAAAACUGCUAAAUAGAUUCAAAAUUUUGUCCCGAGUUUAAAAACACUCAGUGUUCACAUGCUUUAUUGCUUUCUUUUUGCAAGUUAUAGGCCUAUAAAUACAAGUAGGAAAUUGCUGCUUCAAUAUAUAUAUAUUUUAAAUUUAUCAAUUGUGACAUUGUAACAUAGUUAUCUGUCAUAAAUCCCCCAAUCACACCUCACAUGUACAUAUUUUUUUAAAAUUAGACAACCCAGGGUAUUCAAAAUGGGAUAUGUCCAGUAUUUUUUAGUAGCCACCUACUCACAAACACUGGCCAAAGUUAGCAUUUAUACUUGUUUGUUAAAAAUGCAAAAAAACGCUAACUUUGGCCAGUGUUUGUGACUAAGUGGCUACUAAACAAGGCUGAACAUACCCCACUUGCAAUACCUUGGGUUGUCUUCUUUUGCAAAUGGUAUGCCAUCAUGGAGCUAAUUCUCAUUCCUGGGCUACCAUACGCUCUCAAAGGCAACCUAACCAAUCUGACAAAUUUCAAUAAAAAAAAAAUCAAGCCUUAUAUUUGACCCUGUAAUUUUCACAAACACUAUAAAACCUCUACAUGUGGGGUACUGUUAUACUCAGGAGACUUUGCUGAACACAAAUAUUAGUGUAUCAGAACAGUAAAAUGUAUCACAGCAAUAAUAUCAGUGAAAGUGCCGUUUGUGUGUGAAAAAUGCAAAAAAAGUCACUUUCACUGACAAUAUCAUCGCUGUAAUUUUUUUACUGUUUUGAAACACUAAUAUUUGUGUUCAGCGAAGUCUCCCGAAUAAAACAGUUCCCCCCAUGUACAGGUUUUAGGGUGUCAUAGAAAGUUACAGGGUUAAACACAGUGCUAGCCAAUUAAAUUCUCUGGACUUUCGGCCUGGGUUGGCAGGCAGGUCCCUCAAAUUGCAAUCAUUAAAAUUACUUAAUUAGGUAAAAAUAUUACAUAAAUACACACGUAGAAUUUUAAUAUAUAUAUAUAUAUAUAUACAUAUUUAUAUAUUUGACAUCUACGUGUAUAUUUAUGUAAU